GCAGUCCCCGUUGCUCCGUUCAGAAACCACUCUCUGACGGAUCUUGCACGCUCUGUGGCUUACCGUUCAUCAUCGUCAGUUCCCCGUGGCCGGCUCGGCCUCGCCUCCUCAGGCGACGGCCUGCUCCUCCGCCGGCAACGCCGGGGCAGGGCGCGGCGGACGCGUCGGAAUAGAGUAGAAAAAUUCUGUAGCGUGAGAGAAAUUUGGCGCCACGCCCGCUGGGUCCACCAGCGCCUACGGCCCGGCCCAACUAGCUGGCGACUAAAGAUCACCUGCAGAGCUCUGCCCUUCCUGUCCAGCUUCUUGAAGCUUCCCACCACCAUCGCCUAGCGCGGCGCCGCCGCGGGAGCAUCGAGGCGGUGCCUGCCUGGCCGCAGGGUGACCCCCCACAAGCAAUUCGUCGGCGCCUCACCGGGGCACAGGUUAUUUUUCUUUUCCCCUCUUCCGAGCGCUCCCUAGGGUUUCGUCGGGGAUUUGCUUCGUGGUUCAGCCAUUGGGAUGCCUACUACCUCAUUGUCCACCUGCGAAUUCGGCCCGGGAAUAGCGCGCCGUGUGGGGUGCCAUUAGCCCGUCCGUAUGUGGCAGCGAUGCCUGAUGGAGGCGCGAUCAUCAGUCUGCGAUACGGAAUCUGGAUCAUCUGGCCUUUGACACCUGCUGGUUCCAUGAAUAUUGUACGAGAUCCACAGGUUGCUGGGGGUUUUUUUUUCAUACUGCAACUGUGAGCCAAAAAAAAAAACUCUGUUUACCUUUUCUCGAAUAAUUAAAACUCCGUUUACUGGUUACUUGUUCUCAUGAGCCGGUCGCAAAUUAUAGAAGUUUCUAUCUCGCCGGCACUGCAUUAGAUUAACUCAAACUGUGCGUUCUGUUUAAAUGCUAAUAGCAUAGUCUAUCUGCUGCUUUGUCCCUAACUACCUGCUUGCAGAUAUUUUACAUGCCACACCAGCUUCCCCAAAGAAACUGAGGCAGGUCAUGGUGGCACGACUGUUUGCCACUUGGCGGCAUCAUCGCAUGGUUCAUGUUGCUACUGACGACUUGGGUGCCUGUCAUAGAAGUAAACAAGAAAGACAUCACCGUAUAAGAGAUGGAAUUAAAGAAUGGGCGGUGUGGUUAACCACAAUGACACUGCAAUGGCCGAGGCAUGGCCUUUUGUUUAGCAGUCAGGUGCACCAGGCCACCAGGGAGAGACCAGAGACGUGGCUCCCAUGCCUGAAGAAACAUUCCUGGUGCUUCGUUCACCUGGAGUGCCUUUAAGAACGUUUGACCCGGGCUGUCGCAAUGCUGUAGUAGACUUUGUUGAGUGUUGCUUCGUUCAGGAUUGUUCAGGAUACUUGUAAGAACUUGAUUUGUCACAAUGUAAGGUGAGGGUUUUCAAGUAAUUUUCGUUCUUUACUGCACA